rnacentral:rRNA from 1 species
CGGCGUAAAGAGUGGUUAUGAAAAUUAAACAAUAAGGUCGAAUAUCCUCAGAGCAGUUAUACGCAUCCGAGGUCACGAAGCACAGUCACGAAAGUAGCCCUACUAUAAUUCUGACCCCACGAAAACCAUAGAACAAACUGGGAUUAGAUACCCCACUAUGUAUGGUCGUUAACAUCGAUGAUUCAAUACCCUAAUCAUCCGCCCGGGUAAUACGAGCAUUAGCUUAAAACCCAAAGGACUUGGCGGUGCUUUAGACCCCCCUAGAGGAGCCUGUUCUAGAACUGAUAACCCCCGUUAAACCUCACCACCCCUUGUUUUACCCGCCUAUAUACCACCGUCGUCAGCUUACCCUGUGAAGGAAACAUAGUGAGCAUAAAUGGUAAAGCCAUAAACGUCAGGUCGAGGUGUAGCGAAUGAGGUGGGAAGAAAUGGGCUACAUUCUCUCCUACAGAGAAUACGAAUGGCUGUUUGAAAAAACCGCCUGAAGGAGGAUUUAGCAGUAAGUAGAGAAUAGAGAGCUCUGCUGAAAACGGCCCUGAAGCGCGCACACACCGCCCGUCACUCUCUCCAAAUAGCGUACAAGUAUUACCUAAAAUA